rnacentral:rRNA from 1 species
UACGUAGGUGGCAAGCGUUGUCCGGAUUUAUUGGGUUUAAAGGGUGCGUAGGCGGCUUUGUAAGUCAGUGGUGAAAUAUGGCAGCUCAACUGUCAGGGUGCCAUUGAUACUGCAGAGCUUGAGUACAGAUGAGGUAGGCGGAAUUGACGGUGUAGCGGUGAAAUGCUUAGAUAUCGAGAGGAACACCUGCGGCGAAGGCGGGUAGCUGGGCCGACACUGACGCUGAGGCGCGAAAGCCAGGGGAGCGAACGGG